rnacentral:rRNA from 1 species
GAUUAACGCUGGCGGCGUGCCUAACACAUGCAAGUCGAGCGGCAGCGGGCUCACACAGUUUUUCAUUUACAAAAUGGAAGGUUGCGUGAGCGCCGGCGAGCGGCGGACGGCUGAGUAACGCGUGGGAAUGUACCCCAAAGUGAGGGAUAACUGCUCGAAAGGGUAGCUAAUACCGCAUAUGGUCUUCGGAUUAAAGCCUUCGGGCGCUUUGGGAACAGCCUGCGUCAGAUUAGAUAGUUGGUGAGGUAAAGGCUCACCAAGUCAACGAUCUGUAACUGGUUUGAGAGGAUGAUCAGUCAGACUGGAACUGAGACACGGUCCAGACUCCUACGGGAGGCAGCAGUGAGGAAUCUUCCACAAUGGGCGAAAGCCUGAUGGAGCAACGCCGCGUGCAGGAUGAAGGCCUUCGGGUCGUAAACUGCUUUUAUAAGUGAGGAUUAUGACAGUAGCUUAUGAAUAAGGAUCGGCUAACUACGUGCCAGCAGCCGCGGUAAAAC